rnacentral:rRNA from 1 species
GCGAUACAGGGUGAUAGCCCCGUAACCGACGCUUCAUCGAGCGUGAAAUCGAGUAGGGCGGGACACGUGAUAUCCUGUCUGAAUAUGGGGGGACCAUCCUCCAAGGCUAAAUACUCCUGACUGACCGAUAGUGAACCAGUACCGUGAGGGAAAGGCGAAAAGAACCCCUGUGAGGGGAGUGAAAUAGAACCUGAAACCGUGUACGUACAAGCAGUAGGAGCACCUUCGUGGUGUGACUGCGUACCUUUUGUAUAAUGGGUCAGCGACUUAUAUUCAGUGGCAAGGUUAACCGUAUAGGGGAGCCGUAGCGAAAGCGAGUCUUAACUGGGCGCUCAGUCUCUGGAUAUAGACCCGAAACCGGGUGAUCUAGCCAUGGGCAGGUUGAAGGUUGAGUAACAUCAACUGGAGGACCGAACCGACUAAUGUUGAAAAAUUAGCGGAUGACUUGUGGCUAGGGGUGAAAGGCCAAUCAAACUCGGAGAUAGCUGGUUCUCCCCGAAAGCUAUUUAGGUAGCGCCUCGGACGAAUACUACUGGGGGUAGAGCACUGUUAAGGCUAGGGGGUCAUCCCGACUUACCAACCCUUUGCAAACUCCGAAUACCAGUAAGUACUAUCCGGGAGACACACGGCGGGUGCUAACGUCCGUCGUGGAGAGGGAAACAACCCAGACCGCCAGCUAAGGUCCCAAAGUAUUGCUAAGUGGGAAACGAUGUGGGAAGGCUCAGACAGCUAGGAUGUUGGCUUAGAAGCAGCCAUCAUUUAAAGAAAGCGUAAUAGCUCACUAGUCGAGUCGGCCUGCGCGGAAGAUGUAACGGGGCUAAGCAAUACACCGAAGCUGCGGCAAUAUCUUUUAGAUAUUGGGUAGGGGAGCGUUCUGUAAGCCGUUGAAGGUGAAUCGUAAGGUUUGCUGGAGGUAUCAGAAGUGCGAAUGCUGACAUGAGUAACGACAAAGGGGGUGAAAAACCUCCUCGCCGGAAGACCAAGGGUUCCUGUCCAACGUUAAUCGGGGCAGGGUGAGUCGACCCCUAAGGUGAGGCCGAAAGGCGUAAUCGAUGGGAAACGGGUUAAUAUUCCCGUACUUCUGACUAUUGCGAUGGGGGGACGGAGAAGGCUAGGUGGGCCAGGCGACGGUUGUCCUGGUUCAAGUGCGUAGGCUUGAGAGUUAGGUAAAUCCGGCUCUCUCUAAGGCUGAGACACGACGUCGAGCUGCUACGGCAGUGAAGUCAUUGAUGCCAUGCUUCCAGGAAAAGCCUCUAAGCUUCAGAUAGUCAGGAAUCGUACCCCAAACCGACACAGGUGGUCGGGUAGAGAAUACCAAGGCGCUUGAGAGAACUCGGGUGAAGGAACUAGGCAAAAUGGUACCGUAACUUCGGGAGAAGGUACGCUCUUGAUGGUGAAGUCCCUCGCGGAUGGAGCUGACGAGAGUCGCAGAUACCAGGUGGCUGCAACUGUUUAUUAAAAACACAGCACUGUGCAAAAUCGCAAGAUGACGUAUACGGUGUGACGCCUGCCCGGUGCCGGAAGGUUAAUUGAUGGGGUUAGCGCAAGCGAAGCUCUUGAUCGAAGCCCCGGUAAACGGCGGCCGUAACUAUAACGGUCCUAAGGUAGCGAAAUUCCUUGUCGGGUAAGUUCCGACCUGCACGAAUGGCGUAAUGAUGGCCACGCUGUCUCCACCCGAGACUCAGUGAAAUUGAAAUCGCUGUGAAGAUGCAGUGUACCCGCGGCUAGACGGAAAGACCCCGUGAACCUUUACUACAGCUUGGCACUGAACAUUGAACCUACAUGUGUAGGAUAGGUGGGAGGCUUUGAAGACGUGACGCCAGUUGCGUUGGAGCCGUCCUUGAAAUACCACCCUUGUAUGUUUGAUGUUCUAACUUAGACCCAUUAUCUGGGUUGAGGACAGUGCCUGGUGGGUAGUUUGACUGGGGCGGUCUCCUCCCAAAGAGUAACGGAGGAGCACGAAGGUGGGCUAAUCACGGUUGGACAUCGUGAGGUUAGUGCAAUGGCAUAAGCCCGCUUAACUGCGAGAAUGACGGUUCGAGCAGGUGCGAAAGCAGGUCAUAGUGAUCCGGUGGUUCUGUAUGGAAGGGCCAUCGCUCAACGGAUAAAAGGUACUCCGGGGAUAACAGGCUGAUACCGCCCAAGAGUUCAUAUCGACGGCGGUGUUUGGCACCUCGAUGUCGGCUCAUCACAUCCUGGGGCUGAAGUCGGUCCCAAGGGUAUGGCUGUUCGCCAUUUAAAGUGGUACGCGAGCUGGGUUUAGAACGUCGUGAGACAGUUCGGUCCCUAUCUGCCGUGGGCGUUGGAAGAUUGAAGGGGGCUGCUCCUAGUACGAGAGGACCGGAGUGGACGAACCUCUGGUGUUCGGGUUGUGUCGCCAGACGCAUUGCCCGGUAGCUAAGUUCGGAAUUGAUAAGCGCUGAAAGCAUCUAAGCGCGAAGCGAGCCCUGAGAUGAGUCUUCCCUGAUACUUUAAGUAUCCUAAAGGGUUGUUCGAGACUAGAACGUUGAUAGGCAGGGUGUGUAAGCGUUGUGAGGCGUUGAGCUAACCUGUACUAAUUGCCCGUGAGGCUUAACCA